GUUGUGGCGUGGCACGCAAGCUGGUCGGGCUAGCUUGUUCUCUUGAGCGGUGAACAUAUUCCAAGCAAGUGGUGUGGCUCAUUGCGGCUUGGUGCGAGUAGCUUACGGUUGAGCUAAGGUUCUACUCCAGUGCAGUGGAGCUAGUGUCUCUUUCCCUUGUCUUCGUGGGUUCUACUACUACAGGGCAAGCGUGGGUCCUGUGUGGGUCAAAGGUGGUGGUUAUGACCUCUGGUCCAUCCUUUGGCUUACUCUACUGCUAAGAUAGCUGCACUUUGUGAGCCGAGACUGCAUGUUUCACCGGCAAAGACGAGAUUGGCCACCAGGCGAGUGUCCGCUCUCACAAGGGGCUGCUGUUUUGUCUUGUCCAUUUUGUCUUGUUUUUGUGACUUGUUUAAUCAACCUCUCCAUACUCUGGUCAUCCUAGCGUGGGCUGCUAGCUUUGGUUGCUGGGGCUUGGUUGUUUACCUCACGCUUGCUGCUUAUCUACAGCUUGCUUUGUUACAAUGAUUGUUAUGUACUGCUGGUGAGUUUUGUAUCAUCUGUGUGUCGCUUUCUUUUCUUUUGUAUUACUCCAUAUUUUGUGUGUGUGUGUGUGUGUGUGUGGU